rnacentral:hammerhead_ribozyme from 1 species
GCACUGAUGAAGAGUUCCAGAAUAAGACGAAACAGAUGUACAGUAC